rnacentral:rRNA from 1 species
CCUACGUGAGGCAGCAGUAGGGAAUAUUGCUCAAUGGGGGAAACCCUGAAGCAGCAACGCCGCGUGGAGGAUGAAGGUUUUCGGAUUGUAAACUCCUUUUGUUAGAGAAGAUAAUGACGGUAUCUCACGAAUAAGCACCGGCUAACUACGGGCCAGCAGCCGCGGUAAUAAGGAGGGUGCAAGCGUUACUCGGCAUCACUAGGCGUAAAGAGCGCGUAGGCGGGAUAGCAAGUCAGAUGUGAAAUCCUAUGGCUUAACCAUAGAACUGCAUUUGAAACUGUUAUUCUAGAGUAUGGGAGAGGUAGGUGGAAUUCUUGGUGUAGGGGUAAAAUGCGUAGAGAGAAGGAGGAAUACUCAUGGCGAAGGCGACCUGCUAGAACAUAACUGACGCUGAUGCGCGAAAGCGUGGGGAGCAAACAGGAUUAGAUACCCCUGUAGUC